AUUGGACUGACUGUGUGAAUGCAAGUAAAGAAGAGAAGCAUAGUACUGUGUGAGGCACCGUGUGAGGCACAUAAAUAAAAACAACAAAAUCAACAUGACAUUCAGAAGUCUAGGUGGAGACAAAGAAGAAGCAGAGUUUGGCAGUGGUGCUGUAGCAAGAACAUGGCAGUGACGUUAUUAACAGCAGUAGCAGUAGUGGUGAUGGAAACCAUGGUGGCAGUAGUGAUGAUGACAGCACUCUGGUGGCAGGGAUGGUGGCAAUCAA